UCCGGAAUCAUUGGGCGUAAGGAGCGUGUAGGCGGCCCGAUAAGUCCGCUGUGAAAGUCCAGGGCUCAACCCUGGGAUGCCGGUGGAUACUGUCGGGCUUGAGUCCGGAAGAGGAGUGUGGAAUUCCUGGUGUAGCGGUGAAAUGCGCAGAUAUCAGGAGGAACACCAAUGGCGAAGGCAGCACUCUGGGACGUGACUGACGCUGAGACGCGAAAGCGUGGGGAGCAAACAGG
rnacentral:rRNA from 1 species